rnacentral:tRNA from 1 species
CGGGAGGUAGCGAAGUCCGGUUCAUCGCGCUUGGUUUGGGACCAAGAAGCCGUGGGUUCAAAUCCCACCCUCCCGACCA